rnacentral:rRNA from 1 species
GAUGAACGCUGGCGGCGUGCCUAAUACAUGCAAGUCGAGCGAACAGACGAUGAGCUUUCUCCUCUGACGUUAGCGGCGGACGGGUGAGUAACACGUGGAUAACCUACCUAUAAGACUGGGAUAACUUCGGGAAACCGGAGCUAAUACCGGAUAAUAUAUUGAACCGCAUGGUUCAAUAGUGAAAGACGGUUUUGCUGUCACUUAUAGAUGGAUCCGCGCCGCAUUAGCUAGUUGGUAAGGUAACGGCUUACCAAGGCAACGAUGCGUAGCCGACCUGAGAGGGUGAUCGGCCACACUGGAACUGAGACACGGUCCAGACGCCUACGGGAGGCAGCAGUAGGGAAUCUUCCGCAAUGGGCGAAAGCCUGACGGAGCAACGCCGCGUGAGUGAUGAAGGUCUUCGGAUCGUAAAACUCUGUUAUUAGGGAAGAACAAAUGUGUAAGUAACUAUGCACGUCUUGACGGUACCUAAUCAGAAAGCCACGGCUAACUACGUG